rnacentral:antisense_RNA from 1 species
UUCCCUGCUAUGUUUUGUCACACAUCAUUGCUGGGAGAGUUCGGUGCUAUCCAAGUGACUCCCCUGGGAGAGGGCAACUGGAAAUUUAUGCCUGGUGUCUUCCUGGACUCCAACCUAUGUACCUUUUUCCUUGGAUGAUUUUAACCUGUCUCCUUUUGCUGCAAUGAACCAUAACCAUGAGUAUAACAGCUUUUCUAAUUUUUGUGAGUCCCUCAAGUGAAUCAUCAAACCUAAGGUAGUUUUGGGACCCCCAUCACAGACAGUCAAACAGGAGCAGGGCAAGAAGAGCUGCUUUGCCUGGAAGGCUAAUGAGUCUGAACUUCACCCUGGAGGUAAUCGUUAUAGUAACUCCAGGCUCUAACCUGAAGCUGACAUGAUAAGGCCAAAUGUACACCUCUAGAAGACACUUCCGACUGCAGAGGGGAAUGGAUGGGGGAGCUGAGGGAGUAGAGCUGAAGUGGGAAGACCAUGGCCUGGAAAGAGAUGGCUGAACCAGUCCAGCCAUCCCCUUAGCCCUCUGCCCACAGUGAUCACUAACUGAUCGCUCCUCCUUAAAAGCCACCGAAAAGUGUGCUUGGCCGAUCUCCCUGACCUCAAUUUCUCUGCUGGCAGAAUCACAAGAAAGGCAUCAGCACCUUCUGUGAAAUGGGGAGCCAUGCAGAGGAGGUACCCAGGUGGCAAGGAGUCCAUGUCAGCUGCCGUCAUCCACACCACAGACCAGACGUUGCAAAGAGUGGCCAGGCCUUCUGAGUGAAGGUGAUCCAACCUGUCACUAAGCCUAAGGGCAAAUCCUGGCUGUACUAUGAUGGUUCCAACAACCCCAAACAGCAGCGCAGAGGCUGCAGCCACCCUCGGAGGCAUCACUGGGAAACGCUCAUUAGCAGCCUUCCAUUGCUCACCCGCCCCAUCCCACCUCUGCGCAUCCCAGACCAUCAGCCAAGUGCACAGCUGGCUUCCAUCCUCGGAGCCUUCCUCCUUCAUUUGCCUAUUCAACAGUUACAAAGACCUGAGUUGCAAAGGGGCUUACAACCCAUUCCACCCAGAAGAAGGAGAACUGAGACUGAGCAAGACAGAGAAUAGGUGGAAGGGGAGAUGAAACCAAGCAAUCUCUAGAUCCCAAAUGGGGACCCCGAUGUAGCAAGAGCCUCUUCUAAAUCCUUUUCCAAUAGGGUAAUAUGGAAAAUGGUUGAAAGCACAAGCCAAGUGGGGCUGGAAUCCCAAAUGGGCCAUUUACUAGCUGUGUGACUGGACAAGUAAUUUCAUAUUUCUGAGCCUCGAUUUUCUCAUCUGUAAAA